AACGAACGCUGGCGGCAGGCUUAACACAUGCGAGUCGAACGCAUCGCAAGAUGAGUGGCAGACGGGUGAGUAACGCGUGGGAACAUACCCUUUUCUACGGAAUAGCUCUGGGAAACUGGAAUUAAUACCGUAUACGCCCUACGGGGGAAAGAUUUAUCGGGGAAGGAUUGGCCCGCGUUGGAUUAGCUAGUUGGUGGGGUAAAGGCCUACCAAGGCGACGAUCCAUAGCUGGUCUGAGAGGAUGAGCAGCCACAUUGGGACUGAGACACGGCCCAAACUCCUACGGGAGGCAGCAGUGGGGAAUAUUGGACAAUGGGCGCAAGCCUGAUCCAGCCAUGCCGCGUGAGUGAUGAAGGCCUUAGGGUUGUAAAGCUCUUUCACCGAUGAAGAUAAUGACGGUAGUCGGGGAAGAAGCCCCGGCUAACUUCGUGCCAGCCGCCGCCGUAA
rnacentral:rRNA from 1 species